CUCUCACUUUCUAACCCUGUGCACUUGUUUGGGAUAGUAACUCUCGCAAGAGAGCGAACUCCUAUUCACUUAUAAACACAAAGUCUAUGAAUGUAUUAAAUUUUAUAACAAAAUAAAACUUUCAACAACGGAUCUCUUGGCUCUCGCAUCGAUGAAGAACGCAGCGAAAUGCGAUAAGUAAUGUGAAUUGCAGAAUUCAGUGAAUCAUCGAAUCUUUGAACGCACCUUGCGCUCCAUGGUAUUCCGUGGAGCAUGCCUGUUUGAGUGUCAUGAAUACUUCAACCCUCCUCUUUCUUAAUGAUUGAAGAGGUGUUUGGUUUCUGAGCGCUGCUGGCCUUUACGGUCUAGCUCGUUCGUAAUGCAUUAGCAUCCGCAAUCGAACUUCGGAUUGACUUGGCGUAAUAGACUAUUCGCUGAGGAAUUCUAGUCUUCGGACUAGAGCCGGGUUGGGUUAAAGGAAGCUUCUAAUCAGAAUGUCUACAUUUUAAGAUUAGAUCUCAAAUCAGGUAGGACUACCCGCUGAACUUAAGCAU
rnacentral:rRNA from 1 species